GCAGCAAAGGGCCGUGGUCGGAUUCAAACCCACGACUGCUGCAUCGAGGACUAAAGCCUCUGUACAUGGAGUACCUCGACAUAACCACUAGGCUAUCCAGCGCCCCAUUUCCUUUCAUUCUAACAUUGAAAAUGGACGACUUGAGGACAGUGGUACACGUUGUGCUUCUCAAGAAAUACGACACAGUUUUCCUCGACCUUAAGGUUAACGAUGGUGUUUCUGUCAAUCAUUAAUCGACAGUCACAGUUGGAGUUUGUCCUCCUCGUUACGUCGGUGUACUUCCUGUUCGUCUUUUCAUUUCUUAAUGUUCAAAGACGAUCGGCUUGUUGAUGAACAACACACACACACACACACACACACACACACACACACACA